rnacentral:rRNA from 1 species
UACGUAGGGUGCAAGCGUUAAUCGGAAUUACUGGGCGUAAAGCGUGCGCAGGCGGUGAUGUAAGACAGUUGUGAAAUCCCCGGGCUCAACCUGGGAAUUGCAUCUGUGACUGCAUAGCUAGAGUACGGUAGAGGGGGAUGGAAUUCCGCGUGUAGCAGUGAAAUGCGUAGAUAUGCGGAGGAACACCGAUGGCGAAGGCAAUCCCCUGGACCUGUACUGACGCUCAUGCACGAAAGGCGUGGGGAGCAAACAGG